GCCCUCGUUGAUUAAUAGUAAAUCACCCUUAGAGAUUUAGAAAUUUGGGAAGCAUAAAAUUCCAGUGGGAGAUGGAGGUUCGAAUCCUCUCGAAGGCA